CAGCGGCGGUGUUGGCGUUGGGGGCGGGGCAGGAAAGGAUGGGUGCCUGCUCUACCUGCGCGGAGGGAGGAGGCCGGUAGAGUGGAGGAUGAGAGGCACCGAGCCCCCCAGGGUAUCAUGUUAUUUCAGUCUGUUGAUUUCUUGAAGUUGGAUUCUUAACAGACCCAGAAUUACUGGACCAGAAGAUAGAAACACUUGGGUGGAAUUUCACCUCUUGCAGCUGCAACUGCUACUUCCCACAGAAUUUCCUUAUUAAACGGAAAAUUAGCAUGUGUUAAAGACAGAUUCACAUCUACUUGACUCUUUCUCUCUGAUGAAAAUAGAAAAAUUGAAAAAAAAUUUAAAAAGUGACAUCUUCGAAGAAAAAUGGGAACGACUGUUCAA